CCGGCAUGGGGCCCCCUGCCACCCCCUCAGCGGCCAGUGUGUCUGCCCCUCCGGCUUCUCCGGCCAACUCUGUGAGAGGGGGUGUGAACCAGGCGCGUUUGGAGAGGGCUGCCGCCAGCGCUGUGACUGCGAGGCAGGGGCACCUUGCGACCCCAUCACCGGCCAGUGCCUGUGUCCCCCGGGGCGCACAGGGGCCGCUUGUGACCUCGCGGCCUCACACCCAGCUUCUCACGGACCAGCACUUGGGCUCAGCAGCAGGGCAGAGAAACACUAGCUCAGAGGCAGCCCCCAAGCAGGCCCGUCUUCCAGGCGCUUUGGUGUGACCGAG
rnacentral:lncRNA from 1 species